rnacentral:rRNA from 1 species
UACGAAGGGGGCUAGCGUUGCUCGGAAUGACUGGGCGUAAAGGGCGCGUAGGCGGAUGGCACAGUCAGAUGUGAAAUUCCCGGGCUUAACCUGGGGGCUGCAUUUGAUACGUGUGAUCUAGAGUGAGGAAGAGGGUCGUGGAAUUCCCAGUGUAGAGGUGAAAUUCGUAGAUAUUGGGAAGAACACCGGUGGCGAAGGCGGCGACCUGGUCCGAGACUGACGCUGAGGCGCGAAAGCGUGGGGAGCAAACAGG